CUGCCACCACCACAUAUGUUAGCCUGCUGGAGGACGACAGCCAGCCAACCUCCAGACAUAAUCAAGAAGAUUGAGACUUGACCAGAACCUGAACAUCAGAACUCUUUAAGAAGUAAGGACUCCAUUGGCCAGGAAGAUCCAAGGCUAAAAUCUGCCUCAACAUACUUUACUAUGACAAAAAAGGGGGGUAAGAUAACCCCAGAGAACUGAAAGAGGAUCCUUUGAAAAAUCCACAGGAGCAUGUUUCAUAGC